AACGAACGCUGGCGGCAGGCCUAACACAUGCAAGUCGAGCGCCCGGAUUUAUCCGGGAGCGGCGCACGGGUGAGUAACGCGUGGGAACAUGCCCUGAAGUACGGAACAACUGGGGAAACCUUUGCUAAUACCGUAUACGCCCUGAGGGGGAAAGAUUUAUCGCUUUGGGAUUGGCCCGCGGUGGAUUAGCUGGUUGGUGUGGUAACGGCGCACCAAGGCGACGAUCCAUAACUGGUCUGAGAGGAUGACCAGUCACACUGGGACUGAGACACUGACCAGACUCCUACGGGAGGCAGCAGUGGGGAAUAUUGGACAAUGGGCGAAAGCCUGAUCCAGCCAUGCCGCGUGAGUGAAGAAGGCCUUCGGGUUGUAAAGCUCUUUCAGCGGGGACGAUGAUGACGGUACCCGCAGAAGAAGCCCCGGCUAACUUCGUGCCAGCAGCCGCCGCGG
rnacentral:rRNA from 1 species